AAAUACCAGCUUUGGUUAUCAUAAAUAUAGAUUUAUGAAGGGACCAAGCAGAAGUAGAAAGCUAAACAAGAGAUAAGUAAUCCUAUGUGUGGAAAUGAAGCAAAGGUUGCUGCAUCAGCCAUAAGAACUUAUAGUUUAGCACAGCCUACGAGCAAGUCUAUUAAGUCAAUGAGUUGUUAUUGUAUUCCAGUUCUCGUUGGAAACAUUAUUUCCAUUUUAU
rnacentral:lncRNA from 1 species